rnacentral:lncRNA from 1 species
GUAUUUCUCGUGCAUUUGCAAGAAUGGAAUGCUUAGUUUUAGAAUGAAGGACAAGACCCAAAUGAUCUAUACAUUUAACGCUUUGGGCAAGAAUUGCCUUCAUUAUGACCACAUGCAUCAGUCAUCAUCAAGGAGUCGUCAAGGCCUCAGCAGUCAGCUUCAGGGAGGCAAACACAGGGAGAACACAGAGCACUGUGGGCAGCAGCACAGUGACUGAAAGGCAGUUAGGGUGCACUUUAAGAAAAGAUUCUGGUUUUCUCCGGCUUUCUCCAUCAUGGUGCGGAAGCUUAAGUUCCACGAGCAGAAGCUGCUGAAACAGGUGGACUUCCUAAACUGGGAAGUCACCGACCACAACCUCCACGAACUGCGUGAGCUGAAGCGGUACGGGCAGCAACGGCGCGAGGAGUACACGCGCUACAACCAGCUGAGUCGUGCGGUGCGCGAGCUGGCGCGGCGCCUGCGCGACCUGCCCGAACGCGACCCAUUCCGCGUGCGCGCCUCGACGGCGCUGUUGGACAAGCUGUACGCUCUGGGCCUGGUGCCCACGCGCGGCUCACUGGAACUCUGCGACUCCAUCUCGGCCUCGUCCUUCUGCCGCCGCCGCUUGCCUACUUUGCUCUUCAAACUACGCAUGGCGCAGCAUCUCCAGGCUGCUGUGGCUUUUGUGGAGCAAGGCCAUGUCCGCGUGGGGCCCAGACGUGGUCACUGAUCCCGCCUUUCUCGUCAAUCGCAGCAUGGAGGACUUUGUCACCGGGGUGGAUUCAUCCAAGAUCAAGCGGCACGUGUUGGAGUACAAUGAGGAGCGCGAUGACUUUGAGUCUUCUUGUCCUGGCUUCUCAGCUACAGAAGGCUGGAGGAGGAGACGAGGUGCCUCGUGUAACUGAGCCGAAGAGGAGGCUGAGAUGAUCCACCAGUACGCUGUGGGUAACCUGGAGCUUCUGACCGAUCAUGGAGUUGCUGAGCCAACUCCUCAGCUUCCUCCUCUUUGUCUGACCAAGUACUAAAGGUCUUGCCUCCACUGGCUUUCUGUCUACCUCUUCCCAAGCAAAGGAUCCCAGCCGGCUGCUUUGCUCACCAUACCAUGUCCUCCCAUGUUUCUCAUUCACUGCCUCCAUGCUAUUGGAGCCUGGCUGCUGUCCACUGACUCUGGGCACCACCACCCCUCGCCACCCCACAAGUCAAAUAUGAUAAGUGGCCUUUUGGUGCCUGUAGCUCUGUAUGCCAGGGAGAGGGCUCAGUAGGUGGCAGAGUCUAGGAACUGUGCAGCUCCAGGUCUACCCCUUAAUAAUGAGUGCUUGGGACAAGACUGAAACAUCACUCUCUUCCACUGGAAAACAGCGAUAAUAGUACAGCUCUCAUGGGAAUUCUGGGAAGAUUAAAGAAUAAGGGCUAAGCCAGCCUUGGCCAGGCAUGGAAAUGCAUUCCAAGAAUAAAUUGCAGUGAUGGUGCUACUCCCAUCUGAGCCCGUCCACCUUAUGCCUGACUUCUGCCAUGACUGUCGCAGUAUUUUUGGAAAGUAGAUUGGACUUUGUUUCUAAAAUCAUGUAAUAGAAGAGCCUGUUGAUGCAGAGCACUGCGUCUGUGUUAUAUGUAAACAUGCUGCCUUGUCAGAAACUGCAUUUGUCCUAAGACUCUGCUUCUGUACCCAUGUCUUACCGAGGCAGCUUCUUCCCCAACACCCUCUGUCUUUCUGCUUUCCAUCUCUGUCUGCAAAUUACAUCACCUGGAGAGCUUUAUAAAAACGCCCAGGUCCAUGUGGCAACAGGACCGAGGGUGGGAGGUUGAGAGUCACGUGAUGGAUCCUGGGAAAUCCAACUCUGAAGAGCAGCAUCAGGGUGCAGAUCUGAGUUUAUUGCCCAGCCCCCCAAACCAUAAUAUAUAGUGUUUGAUCCAAUCCCAAGCCACUAAAUCCUUGACCAAUCGUAUCUCACCACAAUGUGCCCCAAUGAAAGCCCUGCCUAAUGAGGUAACUCAGAAAGAGUGGGUGGGGCCUGAGGGAAUAUUGUCAUCUGUGAGAAUGGGGGAUGCCCACAUUGCCCUGGCCUGGGUUCCCUUUUGCUGUCUCACAGGUCUGAAGGGAGCCAGUUUAGAUCUAAUGCCCAGUAGGGCAGAUCAGGACUCUUCAAGGAAUCGUGGGAGUCUGGCGGCUCGCUCUCCAUCGCGCUCCCCCACGGAUGAUCUCCAGACUGCCGUUCAGUCCUAUGAGUACUGAAAACAUUGGGUCUGUGUACUGCACAUGAAGUUUUGAAUGAUGAUGGACAUUUAAUACUGGAUAAAUUCAAAGAUGAAGGAGUCUUUCACUUCUCUGAAAACAUGGUCUACUUGGCGGGUCAACAUAUCAAGCUUCAAACGCUCUAAGAGGUUGAUCAUGUCAUCGAAGACCGAGCUCUCCAUGGAGGCCAGCUGUCCCAGCUGCAGUUUACUGAGGACGUUAUUCUCUGCAAAGACCUCCAGUGCUGCCUGUUGCAGCUGCAGAAAGAACUGCAAACAAACAUCUGUUAUUACAUUUAUUGGC